GAUGAACGCUGGCGGCGCGCCUAACACAUGCAAGUCGAGCGAUUAAAGCACCUUCGGGUGUGUCUAACGUGGCGAACGGCUGAGUAACACGUGGGCAACCUGCCCCUUUCAUUGGGAUAGCCACGGGAAACCGUGGAUAAUACCUACUACUUCGUAUCUUCCGCAUGGAAGACCCGAGAAAGCUCCGGCGGAGAGGGUUGGGCCCGCAGCCUGUUGCUUUGUAGGUGGGGUAACGGCAUACCAAGGCAAUGAGGGGUAGCCGGGUUGAGCGAUCGGCCAGCCAGAUUGGGACUGAGAGACGGACCAGACGCGUACGGGAGGCAGCAGUGGGGAAGCUGGCAGAAUGGGCGAACGCCUGAGGUAGCGACGCCGCGUGCGGGAAGAUGGCCUUCGGGUGGUAAACCGCUGUCAGCAGAGACGAGGCGAAAGUGACGGUACCUGCAGAAGAAGCCCCGGCUAACUACGUG
rnacentral:rRNA from 1 species